GGCUCUGGCCAUAUCAGCCUGAAGGCGCCCGAUCUCAUCUGAUCUUGGAAGCUAAGCAGGGUUGGGCCUGCUUAGUAAAAAAAAAAAAAAAAAGUGAUGGUAGGGCUGCAUUCU
ensembl:rRNA 5S_rRNA 5S ribosomal RNA